GGCAGAGUUGUUUAGUGGUUAGAACAACACGCUGGGAAUCAGGCGCCCUCGGUUCUAUUCCCAGCUCUGCCA
rnacentral:tRNA from 1 species